CCUACGGGUGGCAGCAGUGGGGGAUAUUGCACAAUGGGGGAAACCCUGAUGCAGCGAUGCCGCGUGAAUGAAGACGGCCUUCGGGUUGUAAAGUUCUGUCGCAGGGGACGAAAAUGACGGUACCUGACUAAGAAGCCCCGGCUAACUACGUGCCAGCAGCCGCGGUACUACGUAGGGGGCAAGCGUUAUCCGGAUUUACUGGGUGUAAAGGGGGCGCAGACGGCCGCGCAAGCCAGGAGUGAAAGCCCGGGGCCCAACCCCGGGACUGCUCUUGGAACUGCGCGGCUGGAGUGCAGGAGGGGCAGGCGGAAUUCCUGGUGUAGCGGUGAAAUGCGUAGAUAUCAGGAGGAACACCGGUGGCGAAGGCGGCCUGCUGGACUGCGACUGACGUUGAGGCCCGAAAGCGUGGGGAGCAAACAGGAUUAGAUACCCCAGUAGUC
rnacentral:rRNA from 1 species